CCUACGGGAGGCUGCAGUGGGGAAUUUUGGACAAUGGGCGAAAGCCUGAUCCAGCCAUGCCGCGUGCAGGAUGAAGGCCUUCGGGUUGUAAACUGCUUUUGUACGGAACGAAAAGACUCCUUCUAAUAAAGGGGGUCCAUGACGGUACCGUAAGAAUAAGCACCGGCUAACUACGUGCCAGCAGCCGCGGUAAUACGUAGGGUGCAAGCGUUAAUCGGAAUUACUGGGCGUAAAGCGUGCGCAGGCGGUUAUAUAAGACAGAUGUGAAAUCCCCGGGCUCAACCUGGGAACUGCAUUUGUGACUGUAUAGCUAGAGUACGGCAGAGGGGGAUGGAAUUCCGCGUGUAGCAGUGAAAUGCGUAGAUAUGCGGAGGAACACCGAUGGCGAAGGCAAUCCCCUGGGCCUGUACUGACGCUCAUGCACGAAAGCGUGGGGAGCAAACAGGAUUAGAUACCCCUGUAGUC
rnacentral:rRNA from 1 species